rnacentral:rRNA from 1 species
UUUCCUCCCGAGUGCUUGCACUCAAUUGGAAAGAGGAGUGGCGGACGGGUGAGUAACACGUGGGUAACCUACCCAUCAGAGGGGGAUAACACUUGGAAACAGGUGCUAAUACCGCAUAACAGUUUAUGCCGCAUGGCAUAAGAGUGAAAGGCGCUUUCGGGUGUCGCUGAUGGAUGGACCCGCGGUGCAUUAGCUAGUUGGUGAGGUAAC